AUGCUUUCCCUUCAAAUCUAAUAUAGUUCCUGUUUCUCCAAACAAGUGCAACAGUGAUCACAAAGGCAGAAGCAGCAACAACCUUGUGCCACAGUUUACUCCUAGCUUGACAGCAGAUCCAUUGGAGUUCAGCUUCCCAACUACCAAUUGUUCUGUUAUUGCCCAGCCAGCAACAUAUUCUAAACCACAGUCGAUUAGUGAUUGGGCAUUCAAAAAACAAAUGAGCAUAUUCUUUUACAUGUUGAUUACAGAAUACACAAUUCACAGACACGUGCACUCCAAUCUUCUGUAAUCUGUCAACAAUAGGCAGUCGACGUUGAGCAGCAAGCCAAGCAGUGAAUUUGUGUCGAGGUAGGACAGAAACUAAACCUCCAAUUUUAACAUAUACUAAUCCAAGCCAUUGUAAAUAUACACUUAGAUGCAUUAAUUGUAAUCAAGCGUAUAAAAUGUAUGCUUGAACUUACAAAAACAGCCUGUUUAACCAAAUUCUUUAACAGUCUAUUUAUUACAAAAUAUGAGUAUAAUGGCAACUUAAAAUAAACAAACUUUUGUUUUGACAUUACGCCAAAAAUAUUGCUUUCUUAAAUAAUGUCCUAAAUAGCAGUCUGGUUCAUAGCUGCUGUACUAACUAUAUUUAGAUUAAACUAUUACAUGUAUUGUUAAUAUAUGAUUCAUGUCUCUUUUGGAUAUAACUUGUCCAUUAGAGCUUGGUCUUUCUUUAAAAAAAUAGUGUGAGGCCUAUUUUAAAAGCUUCCGAACCUGCUGGUUUAACCAAUCAGUGGCUAAAUCAGCAAGCUAUGGCUCAUGGCCCAAAUAAUCAAAGAAAAAGAAAAGCAAGAGUUUUCAGUAAAGAAGUCAGAUGAAAGAGAAGAGGAAAGCAGUACUCAAACAACAUUAAACAUAAAUGUUUUGCUACAAGUAAAGCUAUUUGUGCAGUUUUAAGAACAUUUUCAUAUUGCUGAAAUACAUAUAAAACACUAGAAAAGUUGAUGAAGAAAAUAAACACACAUUAUCUUCUACUUUUGAAACAUACAACUAUUCACACAUAGUCAUGAAGAGCUUCAAGUUUGUACAAAUAGAUUCAUUCUCAUAGCUUAAGAGUGGUUACAUACCUAGAGAUGAUUCAAAGAAAAGACCAAAUAAAGGUCACUAAAACAACUGAACUUUCCAAAAGAUAGUGAGCAAUAAAAAGCAACACACAACAACCAAAUUAGACCCAAGUUUAGCCUUUAAAACCCAGAAAUUUCAGCUAAGGAAAAUCAGUAGAGAAUCUUCUACUUCAUGUCAUCUUUUCAGCUUUUAAAAAAACCAAGAAGGAAAGUUUUUCUAUAAUUUCUGAAAACCUAAACUUUCCAGAAGAGGAAAGAAUGAUUUUGGGCAGUAAAUUGAUGCUAAAAAUCUAUGCUGUGAAUGAAUGUUGUCCCUUUUUUACAGAGUGUGCAAAAAUAACAUUAAAAGGGAAUAUUCUAACCUAAAUUCCUAAAUUUUAGAACAGUACAACAUCUUUUUGGUAGCUGUAUGUCCUUUUUCUCUUAUCCAAUAUCAGCAUUAGCUAAGGAUAGUGACAUAUUUGCUAAGUUCUAGAAUUUCUGAUUUUAACCUAAGUAAAACUUUAGUUUUACCCUCUAAGUUACUGCCUAUUUCAUUUUUAGCCUAAACCUUUCAAGUUCAAAUGAUACCCUAAAGUUCCUACUGCUUUUCAAAUCAGAACAAACAAAACAAACUUAGACAAAAAUCAAAAGUUUAAAUCAAAAUACCUAAGAGAGCCAAGUGACUGUAAUCCUAAAUUAACCAGUACACAGAAAUGCCUAGCUAGAUAAGCAUAAGAAUUGAGGCUAACAACUAAUUCACUUAACAAUGAAUGCUAAGAAGACUUAGAACUAAAAUUAUCAAUUUCAAAGUCAGACAAUUAGAAUAAUAAAUUACCCAAGAACUGAUUACAAAAAUGGUCAAGGAGGCAAAACAGAGUAGGCAUCAAACAAACCCCUAAUUAAAUUAAAAUCACGCAAUGCAAAGAUGCUUAAAUCAAUAAAGAAAAACAAUAAACUAAGCAAUCUUGUGGAAAAGAAAAUUCUAAACCUAAACAUGUGGUUAAUCAGAAGUGAACCUGAAGAGGGAAAAUCAGAGCAAACAAAUUCUCAAAAACCUAAUCAUUAAACUAAAUAAAUCUGAAUCUAAGCUACUUGAAUUUCUAGUGAUAGGAUUUAAAAAUAUGUUUCAACUAUUCUAAACAAGAUAGAUGCCAGAAAUUAGAAUUAAAAAUAAGAAACCUAAAUCAUGUGUCUAAGACAAAAAACACUGAAUACGCAGAUGAAAAGAAAAGCAAACAAAAGUAAACAAUGAGAGUGCAAACAGUUACCAAGACUUGUUCUUAACAUGACAGACCGGCUAUGACCUUUGAUCAAACUCCUUCAAGGCAACAUGAAAUCAAACUAACAUUAAUCGGCUGUUCUCAACAAGGAACAAUCAACUAAUGCAAGUUUAGGGAUCAGUUAACCAAGCAGAUACUGGAAAUUAGAAUGGGGGAAAUAGCUAGGGUUCAAGGAAUCUUAGAUUUAAAAUUCAAAGGAAUAAUGGCUGAUUCAAGAGGGUCUAAUGGUGGUUUAGGGUUUAGAAAGGGGCAAGGAUAAUAAUGUGUGAGUGUGGAGCAAAUUGGAUUAGUUAGGGUUGUUGACUUCAAAUCUCGGAUUUAGGAUUCGAUGCUUUUGAAGGUGAUUCGAGGGGAUUGGGUGGGAGAUAUGGGCUAAGGGGGUAAAGGGGAUGUUCAUGGUGUAAUUUUGGGGAGGUUUGGACCAUCGCCGCCGUAAGUGAUUUUCGGCGGAUGAUUGGCGACGUAGACGGUGAAGAAAAUGAGGGCGACUAGGGUUAUUUAUUUUUGGAGAAGGGAAUGGGAACUGGGGAGAUUUGGACAUGGAAGGGGGGUAUUUUCAGACAUAUAUGUAUUAAAUCAUCUGUUAGUUCUGAGCCAU
rnacentral:lncRNA from 1 species